UACGAAGGGGGCUAGCGUUGCUCGGAAUCACUGGGCGUAAAGGGUGCGUAGGCGGGUCUUUAAGUCAGGGGUGAAAUUCUGGAGCUCAACUCCAGAACUGCCUUUGAUACUGAAGAUCUUGAGUCCGGGAGAGGUGAGUGGAACUGCGAGUGUAGAGGUGAAAUUCGUAGAUAUUGGGAAGAACACCGGUGGCGAAGGCGGCUCACUGGCUCAUUUCUGACGCUCAGGCGCGACAGCGUGGGGAUCAAACAGG
rnacentral:rRNA from 1 species